rnacentral:piRNA from 1 species
UAGGUGUCAAGCUUACAGGAAGGAUG